UAAGAGGUCCCGCCUGCCCUGUGACUAUAUGUUUAACGGCCGCGGUAUUUUAACCGCGCGAAGGUAGCGCAAUCACUUGUCUUUUAAAUGAAGACCUGUAUGAAUGGCUAGACGAGGGCUUGACUGUCUCCUUUUUCAUGUCAAUGAAAUUGAUCUCCCCGUGCAGAAGCGGGGAUACUACCAUAAGACGAGAAGACCCUAUGGAGCUUUAGACACCAAGGAAGACCAUGUCAACAAACCUCUAAUACGAGACUAAACAAGUGGCCCACCUUCCCUUAUGUCUUUGGUUGGGGCGACCGCGGAGAGCUACAAAACCCCCGCGUGGAACGGGCACAUCCCUUCCUUCAACUGAGAGCCACAGCUCUAAUUAACAGUAAAUCUGACCACUAUAGAUCCGGCAGAGCCGAUCAACGGACCGAGUUACCCUAGGGAUAACAGCGCAAUCCUCUUCUAGAGUCCAUAUCGACAAGAGGGUUUACGACCUCGAUGUUGGAUCAGGACAUCCUAAUGGUGCAGCCGCUAUUAAGGGUCCGUUUGUUCAACG
rnacentral:rRNA from 1 species